rnacentral:rRNA from 1 species
GACGAACGCUGGCGGCGUGCUUAACACAUGCAAGUCGAACGGAAAGGCCCGGCGCUUGUGGGGUGCUCGAGUGGCGAACGGGGGAGUAACACGUGAGUAACCUGCCCUUGACUGUGGGAUAACUUCAGGAAACAGGGGAGAAUACCGGAUAGGAGAUCCUGCUGCAUGGGGGGGGUUGGAAAGUUUCGGCGGUGGGGGAUGGACUAGCGGCUUAUCAGCUUGUUGGUGGAGUAGGGGCUUACAAAGGCUUUGACGGGUAGCCGGCCUGGGAGGGUGACCGGCCACCUUGGGACUGCGGUACGGACCAGUCUCCUACGUGCGGCAGCAGUGGGGAAUCUUGCACAGUGGGCGGAAGCCUGAUGCAGCGACGCCGCGUGCGGGAUGCCGUCCUUCGGGUUGUAAACCGCUUUCGCCUGUGCCGAGGCGUGCGUGACGGUACUGGGUAAAGAAGCCCCGGCUAACUACGUG